UAACCCUGCACUCUUCGCCGCCAUAGCCUCCUCUUUCAGAUCCAAAUCGCUCGCGACCCCUCCUCCACCCUUCUCCCUCACGAGGCUUCCGGCGGCGCAGAGGAGGAGCUCAUCGCCUUCCUCUCCCUUCCCAAGGCGUCGCCUUCGCGGGGCUCAUCGUGGACGGCCGCGUCUUCCUCACGGGGCUUUCCACCUCUCCACGGCUCCACCGACGGUGAUGCGGGAGGAGCUCUCGGAAGGGAUUGAGGAGCCCGGUCGCCUGCUCGCUUCCGCCCGUGACGGGCGAGCUCGGGAGGAUCGAUGGUGCGGCCCGUGAUAGAAAGUUCAGACAUCUGUGAUGGAAGGGCAGGCCGUUAGAAACCAUGGUCUUCGUCUCGACUAACAGGAAGCUCCGCGGAUCUGACUCUGGCUUGGUGGACGAACUUAUUUCAUGGAUGAAUACGAUGACAGGUGAAGCCUCUCAAGAUUUUGCAGCAGCAACUAGAGUUGUUAGCAUCAGUCAUUGAUUAGGAGUUGUGAUUUUAUAUUUGUGUUCCUGGGGUUUUCUCAACCUGCCAGCCACCAGGUAGUACGUAUUGAUGUUCAAUUAACCCAGCAUGCUGAAGUUCAUGUCCAGUCGUCCUUCAUAUGAAAGGAGCCCAGUUUGUGAUUGCUCUGGAAGGAGGUCGAGGCUGAAGAAGUUCAAAGACACGUGAAGCCCUACUAAGCAAAAAGUAUCUAGUUAUUACACUUUCGGAGCUAGUUAUCCACUGUAUCUGUGUUAUAAGAUGUAACAGACUGAUUCUAGCCAUUAUUUGAAGCAUUAUUCGUGUUUUCUGUCUAUUCCGGUUGAAAUAGUGCUUAUAUGCAUACUAGCAAUUUAUAUCUGAACUAUUAUCCUGA